rnacentral:rRNA from 1 species
AUGGUCCUACGAUGCCCCGCAUUGCGCUCCCGCCACGAUACGCUCAUGAUGCUAUGCCUUGGCGAGCUCGACACCACGGUUUGGGCGCUGCCGGUCAUCGGCCACCUGCACCACCUCGUCGGCGCCCUCCCGCACCGUGCUCGCGCAGGCCAGGAAGAACGGUGCAGCCGGCUACUCCACGGCGGCCGGCGGCUGUCGCUCCUUCACCACAGAUGCACCACAGCAGCCAUGGCAAUGAUGACGGGGACGGCGCCGCCGCAGCCUUGGGCAUGCCUCCGCACACACUUCGUCAUUGCUUCACCUCCCCGGUCGUGCCCUCCACGCACCAUACGUCCUGGCCAUCCAUGGUUCCGUCGUCGUCAGGGUGGGCACAGGCGCACAGCCACCGUAGUUGCUGCUGAAUCCCGAAAACCCCCCAUGCCAUUGCAAUCCGAGGCGCGCGCGAGAUCAUGA